rnacentral:rRNA from 1 species
UACGUAGGCAGCAAGCGUUGUUCGGAGUUACUGGGCGUAAAGAGUGCGUAGGUGGUGCCCUAAGUCUGUUGUGAAAUCUCCCGGCUUAACUGGGAGGGUGCGGUGGAAACUGGGGUGCUUGAGUGUGGGAGAGGUAAGCGGAAUUCCUGGUGUAGCGGUGAAAUGCGUAGAUAUCAGGAGGAACACCGGUGGUGUAGACGGCUUUCUGGACCGUAACUGACGCUGAGACACGAAAGCGUGGGCAGCAAACAGG